rnacentral:rRNA from 1 species
GAUGAACGCUGGCGGCGUGCCUAAUACAUGCAAGUCGAGCGAACAGACGAGGAGCUUGCUCCUCUGACGUUAGCGGCGGACGGGUGAGUAACACGUGGAUAACCUACCUAUAAGACUGGGAUAACUUCGGGAAACCGGAGCUAAUACCGGAUAAUAUAUUGAACCGCAUGGUUCAAUAGUGAAAGACGGUUUUGCUGUCACUUAUAGAUGGAUCCGCGCCGCAUUAGCUAGUUGGUAAGGUAACGGCUUACCAAGGCGACGAUGCGUAGCCGACCUGAGAGGGUGAUCGGCCACACUGGAACUGAGACACGGUCCAGACUCCUACGGGAGGCAGCAGUAGGGAAUCUUCCGCAAAGGGCGAAAGCCUGACGGAGCAACGCCGCGCGAGUGAUGAAGGUCUUCGGAUCGUAAAACUCUGUUAUUAGGGAAGAACAAAUGUGUAAGUAACUAUGCACGUCUUGACGGUACCUAAUCAGAAAGCCACGGCUAACUACGUG